GACGAACGCUGGCGGCGUGCUUAACACAUGCAAGUCGAACGGUGAAGCGCCUUCCUUUUUGGUGGGUGUGGAUGAGUGGCGAACGGGUGAGUAACACGUGAGUAACCUGCCCUCUUCUUCUGGAUAACCGCAUGAAAGUGUGGCUAAUACGGGAUAUUCUGGGUCUGUCGCAUGAUGGGUCUGGGAAAGAUAUUGUUUCGGUGGGGGAUGGGCUCGCGGCCUAUCAGCUUGUUGGUGGGGUGAUGGCCUACCAAGGCGGUGACGGGUAGCCGGCCUGAGAGGGUGGACGGUCACACUGGGACUGAGACACGGCCCAGACUCCUACGGGAGGCAGCAGUGGGGAAUAUUGCACAAUGGGCGCAAGCCUGAUGCAGCGACGCCGCGUGAGGGAUGGAGGCCUUCGGGUUGUGAACCUCUUUCGCCAGUGAAGCAGGCCUGCCUCGUUUGUGGGUGGGUUGACGGUAGCUGGAUAAGAAGCGCCGGCUAACUACGUG
rnacentral:rRNA from 1 species